rnacentral:rRNA from 1 species
UACAGAGGGUGCGAGCGUUAAUCGGAAUUACUGGGCGUAAAGCGUGCGUAGACGGUUAUAUAAGUCGGAUGUGAAAGCCCCGGGCUCAACCUGGGAAUUGCAUUCGAGACUGCAUAGCUAGGGUGCGGAAGAGGGAAGCGGAAUUUCGGGUGUAGCGGUGAAAUGCGUAGAUAUCCGAAGGAACAUCAGUGGCGAAAGCGGCUUCCUGGUCCAGCACCGACGUUCAGGCACGAAAGCGUGGGGAGCAAACAGGG